UCGGCCGACGGCGCGCUGCGCAACAAGCGGCUGAUCUGCAUCUACUUCGCGGCGCAGUGGUGCCCACCGUGUCGCGUGUUCACGCCGAUAUUGGCCAACGCGUACCGCAGGGCCAAAGACGAAGGGCUGCCGAUCGAGGUGGUGUUUGUGUCGUCGGACCGAAACGCUAACGACAUGAGCGCUUACGUGAAGAGCGACCACGAAGACUGGCCUGCGCUUCCUUACGGAGACGCGCUGCAGGCCGGUCUCAGGGCCCGGUACAAGGUGGCCGGCAUACCUACACUGGUGGUGGUCAAGGCGGACGGGGCACUCGUGAGCACCAACGGCAGGCCCGACGUCCAGACCAAGGGCUACAAGGCGUUCAAGGACUGGCUUAGCUGCAUAUGAACCUGCAAGGGAGCCCGACGGAAGGCGUCGCCA